rnacentral:rRNA from 1 species
UACGGAGGGUGCAAGCGUUAUCCGGAUUCACUGGGUUUAAAGGGUGCGUAGGCGGGCAGGUAAGUCAGUGGUGAAAUCUCCGAGCUUAACUCGGAAACUGCCGUUGAUACUAUUUGUCUUGAAUACUGUGGAGGUAAGCGGAAUAUGUCAUGUAGCGGUGAAAUGCUUAGAUAUGACAUAGAACACCAAUUGCGAAGGCAGCUUACUACGCAGUUAUUGACGCUGAGGCACGAAAGCGUGGGGAGCAAACAGG